ensembl:lncRNA
CCCCGGGCUCCCAGCUCCCGGCGACCGCCGCACGCUGCCUCCGCCGCCCGCUGCCCGCGGCGAGGACGGACGAGAAUUGGGGACUCGUUUGUUUGGGGUGGGGGUGGGGAUGGGGAUGGGGGGAGGAAAGGAAGAAAGAAAGGAAAGGAAAGGAAAGGAAAAAGGAAAGGAGGGGGGAGGGAGAGGGAGAGGCGAAGCCGAGGAUCCCGAGAAUCUUGCACCAAACGCGCCCAAGCUGGAGAGAGGGGGAAAAUCCUUCCAGAAGAAUUUGCAGGCGUGGAUUGGGGUAAUCUUUUUUCUUUUUUUUUUUUUUUCUUUUUUUUUUUUUUUUUUUUUUUUUUUUUUUUUGGCGAGAUAGCGUGGGGGGAUCGGAGUUAGAGGCAGGGAGGAGAAGGGGGGGAAAGUUCUCGGGGGAGGCAAAAAAAAAAAAAAAAAGUUUUUUUCUCCUCCGCAAAAGGCGGGCAGGGCGCCCUAAGUCCAAGGACAAUCCAUGGAAGUGUUCGCUUCUUCACAAGUUGUGCAAACGAUUUGUUAGUUCAUGAGCCUAAUUAGUGCGGGGAUCACAUAAACAGCUUCCUCCGAAGCCUGGUAAAUGGCUUGAUGAUUGGUCGCUAUUACUCGCCCUGAGGUGGAAGGGGGGAGACUCUUUAAAGUGCGUCAGAGGGAGGCGAGCGCCUGGGAACCCGGAGGCCUGGAUCCGGGCCGAGAGUGGAACGGAGUCGGCGCCGCUGUCUCGGUCGAGCCUCCCGCAGCCCGCCGGGCCGCCUGGCCUCUCCGCGUCUUCGCCCCGCGCUCCCAGCUCACUCGCUCCUGCGGCGCCCGCUGCGGCUUCUCCUCCUCCUCCUUCUUCGCCUCCUCCUCUUCCUCGGGUUUCUGCCUCUCCUCCUCCUCUUCUUCCUCCUCCUCUUUCCCCACCUCCUCCCCCUCAGCCACCGCCUCCUCCUCCACCAGCACCACUCCCUCCGGGGCACCCCGGUCCCUGCAGAGUCCCUGGCCGGCACCGCCUCUGCUGCGGCCCCCUGAAUCCUGAGUCUGCUGCGCCCAAGCUGGUAGGACAGACGGACAGAUUCCUCAAGUCUAGCGCUCCGCCGCUGCUGCCCGGCGCUGCCCGGCGUCGAGGGAACAGGGAUCGCCCCGGGAGGACCGCGAGGAUACUGUAUUGGCAUUUGAGAUUGAAAAGUGAAAAAUCCUAUGAUAUCCUCCUUCGAGAAGCUCACUCCGUAGCCGUGAAAGACUAACCUUGUAAAUACUACGUUUUCAUACUAUGGAAAACUGUGUAGUGUAGCUACUGCAAAGAUGGAAGCUCUCUCUCUGUAAUGUCAUGGAAAGACCUCCAAGACCUAUCAAGAAGGAAAAAAAGCAAACUCCAGGACAAUACAUGAUAUGAUCCCAUUAAUGCUUAAAAUAAAUACUACUUGUUUGUGUUUGUGUGUGUGCGCGCCUGUGUGUAUUCACAUACUAAUAUAUAGUUACAUGUGCA